rnacentral:rRNA from 1 species
GACGAACGCUGUUCGGCGUGCUUAACACAUGCAAGUCGAACGGAAAGGCCCUGCUUUUGUGGGGUGCUCGAGUGGCGAACGGGUGAGUAACACGUGAGUAACCUGCCCUUGACUUUGGGAUAACUUCAGGAAACUGGGGCUAAUACCGGAUAGGAGCUCCUGCUGCAUGGUGGGGGUUGGAAAGUUUCGGCGGUUGGGGAUGGACUCGCGGCUUAUCAGCUUGUUGGUGGGGUAGUGGCUUACCAAGGCUUUGACGGGUAGCCGGCCUGAGAGGGUGACCGGCCACAUUGGGACUGAGAUACGGCCCAGACUCCUACGGGAGGCAGCAGUGGGGAAUAUUGCACAAUGGGCGGAAGCCUGAUGCAGCAACGCCGCGUGCGGGAUGACGGCCUUCGGGUUGUAAACCGCUUUCGCCUGUGACGAAGCGUGAGUGACGGUAAUGGGUAAAGAAGCACCGGCUAACUACGUGCCAGCAGCCGCGGUGAUACGUAGGGUGCGAGCGUUGUCCGGAUUUAUUGGGCGUAAAGGGCUCGUAGGUGGUUGAUCGCGUCGGAAGUGUAAUCUUGGGGCUUAACCCUGAGCGUGCUUUCGAUACGGGUUGACUUGAGGAAGGUAGGGGAGAAUGGAAUUCCUGGUGGAGCGGUGGAAUGCGCAGAUAUCAGGAGGAACACCAGUGGCGAAGGCGGUUCUCUGGGCCUUUCCUGACGCUGAGGAGCGAAAGCGUGGGGAGCGAACAGGCUUAGAUACCCUGGUAGUCCACGCUGUAAACGGUGGGUACUAGGUGUGGGGUCCAUUCCACGGGUUCCGUGCCGUAGCUAACGCUUUAAGUACCCCGCCUGGGGAGUACGGCCGCAAGGCUAAAAUUCAAAGGAAUUGACGGGGCCCCGCACAAGCGGCGGAGCAUGCGGAUUAAUUCGAUGCAACGCGUAGAACCUUACCUGGGUUUGACAUGGAUCGGGAGUGCUCAGAGAUGGGUGUGCCUCUUUUGGGGUCGGUUCACAGGUGGUGCAUGGCUGUCGUCAGCUCGUGUCGUGAGAUGUUGGGUUAAGUCCCGCAACGAGCGCAACCCUUGUUCACUGUUGCCAGCACGUUAUGGUGGGGACUCAGUGGAGACCGCCGGGGUCAACUCGGAGGAAGGUGGGGAUGACGUCAAGUCAUCAUGCCCCUUAUGUCCAGGGCUUCACGCAUGCUACAAUGGCUGGUACAGAGAGUGGCGAGCCUGUGAGGGUGAGCGAAUCUCGGAAAGCCGGUCUCAGUUCGGAUUGGGGUCUGCAACUCGACCUCAUGAAGUCGGAGUCGCUAGUAAUCGCAGAUCAGCAACGCUGCGGUGAAUACGUUCCCGGGGCU